GUGCCAGCCGCCGCGGUAAAACGUAGGACGCAAGCGUUAUCCGGAGUUACUGGGCGUAAAGCGCGGGCAGGCGGUUCUUUAAGUCUGAUGUGAAAUCUCCCGGCUCAACCGGGAGCAGCCAUUGGAAACUAGGGAACUGGAGGGCGAGAGAGGUAGGCGGAAUUCCGGGUGGAGUGGUGAAAUGCGUAGAGAUCCGGAGGAACACCAGAGGCGAAGGCGGCCUACUGGGUCGCACCUGACGCUGAGCCGCGAAAGCCAGGGGAGCGAACGGGAUUAGAAACCCUCGUAGUCC
rnacentral:rRNA from 1 species